CAGGAAGGAAAGGGAUCUGCACAACUAAGGCAUCGUCUCUAUGCUAUGGAAUUAAUGGAACCCUCCAUCCUAGACUCGCUUCUUCAGACACUAAAUAAGAGUUUUUGGGCUCCCAUUGCUGCCACUGUGCCUUCUGCCACCAAAGGAUUGCUUAGGAGCUGAGAUGCAAGAGAAUGGAGAAAUGGAGAAAAAAAUGGAGAAAAAUAUUCCCACGUUUUGCUAGCAUUAGGAGAGCACUUAUUCACUCUUCAAGUCAGAAACAAAGAGCUUCCUGGAUCUUUCUCUGUGUUGGUGUCACCUCCCAUGUUGCAGGUUGUGCUGAGUCCAGGAAUCACUGGAAUGGGAAAAAAUCAAACAAACAAACAAACAAACAUAAAUUCGCCAUUGGCUUAGUGGCA